CUCAGGACGAACGCUGGCGGCGUGCUUAACACAUGCAAGUCGAACGAUGAACCGCUUUCGGGCGGGGAUUAGUGGCGAACGGGUGAGUAACACGUGGGCAAUCUGCCCUGCACUCUGGGACAAGCCCUGGAAACGGGGUCUAAUACCGGAUAUGACCGUCUGCCGCAUGGUGGAUGGUGUAAAGCUCCGGCGGUGCAGGAUGAGCCCGCGGCCUAUCAGCUUGUUGGUGAGGUAGUGGCUCACCAAGGCGACGACGGGUAGCCGGCCUGAGAGGGCGACCGGCCACACUGGGACUGAGACACGGCCCAGACUCCUACGGGAGGCAGCAGUGGGGAAUAUUGCACAAUGGGCGAAAGCCUGAUGCAGCGACGCCGCGUGAGGGAUGACGGCCUUCGGGUUGUAAACCUCUUUCAGCAGGGAAGAAGCGAAAGUGACGGUACCUGCAGAAGAAGCGCCGGCUAACUACGUGCCAGCAGCCGCGGUAAUACGUAGGGCGCAAGCGUUGUCCGGAAUUAUUGGGCGUAAAGAGCUCGUAGGCGGCUUGUCACGUCGGUUGUGAAAGCCCGGGGCUUAACCCCGGGUCUGCAGUCGAUACGGGCAGGCUAGAG
rnacentral:rRNA from 1 species